AUGGAAUCGAGUUCUUGUCAGAUCCAGUCGACAGAUGCGCCUCUGGCCCAUGUUGCAAGCCAAGCUUUAGUAUGCACGCCUGCUGAAUCCAGCAUUGGCGAUGCCGGGGGUGCCGCACUGGACUUACAAAUGGAGUUGAACAACACUUGCGAGGGGAUUGCUCUGUCCGCACCGGCGUCCGAGCAAUCUACAGGCGGAGACAACCCUCAAGCCCCUGGUUGGACUAAAAUAAUCCGUAUGGGGCGUGCACCUGAUGAACGACCCCCAUGUGCUGCCAGGAUGAGUGCGUUGGAAAUGGCAUUGCCAAGUUAUGCAGAAAAGAAAACUGAAACUGUCAUAGUUCCUGCUCUGGGAAGCAACUUCGAUACACUGGGGGAAGCCUAUGGUUACUACAAUCUAUAUUCAUGGGAGAUCGGCUUUGGAGUAAGAUAUGGCAAACGCCGGCUAAAUGUCGAAAAAGAACAAAAUGCAUGCAGGAGAUAG
rnacentral:rRNA from 1 species